AGAGUUUGAUCCUGGCUCAGGAUGAACGCUAGCGGCAGGCCUAACACAUGCAAGUCGAGGGGUAACAGGGAGCUUGCUCCGCUGACGACCGGCGCACGGGUGCGCACCGCGUAUGGAACCUACCUUGUACAGGGGAAUAGCCCAGGGAAACUUGGAUUAAUGCCCCGUGGUACCACGACCCGGCAUCGGGAUGUGGUUAAAGCCUUCGGGCGGUAUAAGAUGGCCAUGCGUCCCAUUAGCUUGUUGGUAAGGUAACGGCUUACCAAGGCUACGAUGGGUAGGGGCCCUGAGAGGGGGAUCCCCCACACUGGUACUGAGACACGGACCAGACUCCUACGGGAGGCAGCAGUGAGGAAUAUUGGACAAUGGAGGAGACUCUGAUCCAGCCAUGCCGCGUGCAGGAAGAAUGCCCUAUGGGUAGUAAACUGCUUUUAUACGGGAAGAAAAAGGGGCACGUGUGCCCUACUGACGGUACCGUAAGAAUAAGGACCGGCUAACUCCGUGCCAGCAGCCGCGGUAAUACGGAGGGUCCGAGCGUUAUCCGGAAUUAUUGGGUUUAAA
rnacentral:rRNA from 1 species